ACAGUGGACGCGAGCAUCUGUGGCCAAGUUUUUAAGGGCGCACGGUGGAUGCCUUGGCACCAGGAACCGAUGAAGGACGUGG
rnacentral:rRNA from 1 species